rnacentral:rRNA from 1 species
CCACGGGUGAGUAACACGUAUCCAACCUGCCGUCUACUCUUGGACAGCCUUCUGAAAGGAAAGAUUAAUACAAGAUGGCAUCAUGAGUCCGCAUGUUCACAUGAUUAAAGGUAUUCCGGUAGACGAUGGGGAUGCGUUCCAUUAGAUAGUAGGCGGGGUAACGGCCCACCUAGUCUUCGAUGGAUAGGGGUUCUGAGAGGAAGGUCCCCCACAUUGGAACUGAGACACGGUCCAA